AAGGUGUAUUGAACGCCUCUCGGGCGUAAGCCUGAGGAAAGUCCUCUGUCGUUAGGGGGUUUGUGAUGCCGCAAGGCAUAGGCCGGAAGGCCUGGUAGACCACAGAAAUGGCACGAGCGUGGCUAGAUGUCUAUGAUGGCGAUGCUACUUCGGCGACGAAGUAGCUAGCUUGAGUAUAGCCAUUGCUCGGUGAAACAUGAUCCCCCGCAAAGACAAAGGUCGGGGUGAGCUAUGAGCACCCCCUACGAGCUCUCCGACCGACUAGAUGAAUGGCGUUGAAACAAAAAGAGGCUUACAAAUACACCUU
rnacentral:RNase_P_RNA from 1 species